ensembl:lncRNA
CCCAACCUGCCCUGUCGCACACCCUGCACUGCUGCUUCUCUCUCCACUUCCAGCUUUCCAACAGCUUCUGCCCAGGGAAGUGGUGGAGUCGCCACCCUGGCAGUGUUCAAGACGUGUCUGGAUGAGGAGCUACGAGGUUACUGGAGGUUGUUGAGCUUAAAGCACGACGGUGAAUCGAUCAACUGCUGUGCCAGUGAUAGAAGCCUCCCGUUUGAAUAGGAGGCUGAAAAAUUUGAACUGAUUUCCAUACAGAACAGCAAUCCAUCACCCCACCACGCCUGGAAAGGCUCCAUUUCUAGAGCAGCUUUCUGUGAAAGCGCCUCAUUGACAGUCAAAUGAAUAAAUAGCUCAACCACUUCGAAGCCCCAGAGGAGAGUUUGUUUGAAGAAGGCAUUUUGGACAACAGCAUCCACCCUGUUGCUGAAAUUCCUAAUAAUCCUCCGCACCGACUGAAGCUCUGUUUUGCAUGAGAAGAGAAUCGUAGGGGGAAAAAAAAGCCUUCCAGACGGCUCUAAUUAAGCUUUGUCCUGAUUAAACACAUUUCCAGAGCUGGAUUUUCUGAAGUCCUACCCUCUGUCCAAGCGGAGCCGGCUGGAAGACUCCCUGCACGUCAAAUGCAGACUGAACUUGUGAGCUUUGCUCACCUUUGGGUGUCCAUGCAGGGGAUGGAGUUUGGCUGAUCUCACCUGCUGCAUCCUGCACUGUGCCAGAGGAUGCACGGCACCGACUUGACUUCUGCUGGAUGGAGGCUGGAAGGUCCGGGAGCGCACGUUUGAAAGGCUGGCUGACUUGUUUCACCUCCACUCUCCCCCUCCUUCAAGGUUUUAAUGAAUUUAGCUGGAAUUUAUUUUCGAGAUCAGCUAUAUGCAGUGCCUGUGAGUAGUUUACCCUGCCCAACUCCAGGUGUCAUUUAUCAUUCUCCCCCCUUCUUCGUUAAUAGAGCUGUCUAUAAAAGAGCCAACAAGCUUGUUGUGCCAGUUCACACCCAUGGGGCAGGUGAGACCAGACCUUCAUCUCUACAUUGGAGCUCUCUUUGCUUUUGGACCAAAACCCCCAAAAUCAGCAGCAGCAGCAAAGCUGUUGAUACACACUGAUCACAGAAACAAAACCAUUCCCCUUAGAGGAUGCUAGUAUGCUGUUGAGCAACAAAGGCACAGAAAGUAUUUCCAAUUGCAGGUUGAAGGGAGGUUUCUUGGAAGCAGUCACUUUGUUGUUCUGAUUCACUGACAUAAACCUGGAGGACUCGCUGUGUUUCUUCUCCCAGCUGCAGCUGUCAUCUCCUAGCCCAUGUCUGGCCCCUGGCUGAGCAUUGUGCAGACCAUGGGUGCAGCAGGGGCCUUGCAGUGGCCCUAAUGCAUCCCACUGAGAGGCAAGCACCCCAAAAUCUCAGCACUGUGUGAAUCAUAGAAUAGAAUCAUAGAAUCACAGAAUGGCCUGGGUUGAAAAGGAUCACAGUGACCAUCUAGUUUCAAUCCCCCUGCUGUGUGCAGGGUCGCCAACCACCAGACCAGGCUGCCCAGAGCCACAUCCAGCCUGGCCUUGAAUGCCUCCAGGGAUGGGGCAUCCACAGCCUCCUUGGGCAACCUGUUCCAGUGCCUCACCGCCCUCUGUGUGAAACACUUCCUCCUAAUAUCCAACCUAAACCUCCCCUGUCUCAGUUUAAAACCAUUCCCCCUUGUCCUGUCACUACCCACCCUUGUAAACAGUUGUUUCCGUGCUCCCUGAGCUGUGGGUUACUCAGCUCUCAUUACGCUCCAGCCUCCAUCCUCAGGCACUGCCCUAUUGCAGUACUGCACACCCAUCCUAUGGCUUGAAAAAUACGAGCUGUCAAGAGCAGGCAGAUGGAAAAACACCACCAGGAGGGUGGCCAGCUGAUGUCUUUAACACCUGUGGAGGUGUCAGCCCAGAGGAUGGGUGGAGGGAUGGACACCGUGUGCCUGAGAUCACAGCACAGCCCUCUCACCAUGAGCCCCGCUCCCUUUGCAGGCAACUCUCCAACACACCGUAUUUUUUGCCAAGGGCUUAAGCCACUGGCAGCUCUUCUCACAGUCUCCUCCAUCACCUCUGAAAAUACCUGAGGCUGAUCUUGAGCAGACAUCAGAGCUCAGAGAAUAGUCCUGAAAGGCAGAGGAAGGGAGUCUGUCAAAACAGAAAGAAACAAGAGCGGAGCAGAAGCCUCCUGGAGAAGGUCGUGCACAGGUGGUGGCGAUUGCGGCCAGCACCUGAGACUUGGUGAUGCCCCACUACAUGGCCAAGGGGUAGCUCUCCCAGCCCACCCUCACCAUGCCUCACAACCCAUCUGCCUCCCCCUCUUUUUGCAGGGGGCUGGUGGUGCCGUGCUUCUUUCCAACACGGUUGCCUGUUCCUCGGGGUUUGCCAGCAAAUUAUGAAGUCCUUAUGAGCUCAGUCUGCAGCUGAGUGUUGGGCUGCGUUAGGGUUAGUCCAAGCCCAGGGCUGAUUCAGACGUGGGUUGGAAAUGUCCCAGAGGGAGAGUGAAAAAAUGGGUGUGUGCUUGUGCAGAAAUGAAAAAGCAUCAUUGCUCCUGUCCCUCCCAGUAACUGUCCCAUUGCACUGCCUUGUGUCAGGCUGCUGACGUCUCAGGAAUGUCUGGCUUGCCCUGGCCAUGGGAUGGCAGGCCCAAGGAAGCCUGCCAGGAGCCCAGCUGAAGAAGGCACAUGCUUCCUGUCAGUGUGCAAAAGCACAAAGAUGAGGACAACUUGGAGACAACCAUCGAGGGUGACAAGGGGCUGAGGAGCUGUGAUCUACAAGAGACGGCUGCGUUUAUUCUAGGCCAGGACAGCAGGCAGAGGAGCAUGACUGCAGCCUUCCAGCAUAGAGGAGCUGUCAUGGAAGGGCUGCUACAGGGAGCUGGUCGCAGCUGAGAUGUGCUUUGGAUGUCAGCAAGCAAUGGGUAAUGCCACCUAAUAAAGGCAUUGAGAGUGAAGGUGUUAGGGAAGACUGGGUCUGGAUGAAGAGCAGCUGGGGACACCAUGACAAUCUGGUGUCCCCAGGCCCCAUCCCUGUCCCUAAAGUUAUAUCUACUGCUUCUCCUUGGCAUAAAUAAAGUCUUUCCUUCCCAUUCUGGGCUGUCUGCCCUGCACCACUGGAAAGCUGCAAACAGACCCAUUUUGCGUGUCCAGCUGUGCGUCUUUUUGCCCCAUUUACCUUCCUGCCCCAGCAACCAGAGAGCUGCAGCUCUUUGGGGCCGACUUUGGAGGACUUUGCAGACCGUUAUCUCACGAGGGGUUGUUUUGCUCCAUUCCCUUUUAAAAACAACGAGCACAUGUGGCAUUCUGUGAAGCAGAUGGCUGGCUUGGCGCUCAGACUGCCUAGACCCAUACAUCUCCCAUACACAUACACGUGCUUUCAGCAGUGCUGGGGAUCACGACCUUGCAGAUGGUCUGGGCAAGCUCGGUGUGGGACAGAUAGAUGGAUGGAUGAGAGGAAUGCUCCAGGUCAUUCCAAGUGUUUGGUAUUCCAGGAAUCUGGGGGGAUAAAGGGCUUCGUCUUGGGAGGAUUUGUGAUGAAAUAACUGCAGGAGUUCCAGAGGGGAUGUUUCACACCUGCGCUGAGAGUCAGCAGUGUGUGGACACUGGAAAAGGCUCCAGAGAGGGCAGAGGAGGGGGAAAAGGUGGUUCUGGGGAGCAUCGGGGUCAUGGAUGGGGGUUCAUUUGCUUUUCUCCUCCCCUCUCCCUUUGCGCUUGAGCUUGGCAGCCAGGCAGAGACACCCAGACCAGAUGUCCAAGGCUGCAUGAUAUGACCCUUGGCUGUGCUGAGCAUCAUCUUCCUCUCUGCCCCACUCCCCAGGUCCCCACAUCAGGGUCAUGGCCAGGUUGUCCUGAUCUGGCCCAGAUCCGUGAGGCUGGAUCCAAAAGGAGAGGCCAGCAUGGGAUGCAGCUGAGCAGGCUGCUGUCCAGGUGGGUGCAGCUGGGGAAAGUUUGUUUUGCAAAGCUGCUACUGUCCCGAGGUUAUUAAAGGCAUGCUUGGUGCAUUAUCUCCUACUUGGGACCAUGCUGGUGGGCCAAGCAUCACAGCAAGGCCAAGAGGAGGUGCUUUGGGGGCCUUUAAUAACAUAAUUCCAAGCAGCUCUGGGGUAUAUCCAUGGCCUGAGGUGGGUAACUUGUAUGUGUAUGCACAUGCAGAGAUUAUAUACAGUAGUUUCACAGAUCACUUUGCUUUCUUGUUUGUGUUGCCCUCUCUGUGUUUCAUUCAUUGCCUUGUUUUUCUCUUGCUUUCUGUCUGCAGUGCCUAAUAGGGCCAGGACACCUCAUCUUACCAGCAGAACAAUUAGCCUUUAUUUUGGUAAGAAUUUAGAAAUGCUGCAUAUUUUGCUUUUGCUUUUCCAGUACCUAAUAUCCCCUGUUUAAUGACAUUCCUUCCAAAAUAAAAGAGUCACAGUGCAGCACAGCGGGUGGCUGGGAGGUAGCAUCCAUCCCCAGCCUUCGGUAUGGCUGCAGUGCUUGGUACAAAACCAAGGGCCCUCUUCCCAUCCUCACUGCCAGGGAAAUGAGAUUGCAGGAGCUGGCCAGGACCCAGGGCUAAAUGCAGCUUUGGAAAAGAGUUGAGAAGCUCCUGUAAAUGAGACUCAGGGAAGAAGGCUACUUCCGAGCCAGUCCUGGCAGAGAGGAACCUACCUCUGAAUGGGGCUUUUCCCUCGUGUUUUCCUUCUGGCAUCCUUCUAAUAUGACAGCAAUUAAAAGCCCUGAAAAAAUGGAUGGAAACAAUUUGGAAGAGGUCUCUAUUAGAUUUGCUCUCAUUAGCACUGCAGGCUAUUUUUUCAGCUGCUAAUUGACAGCUGCCUUCCAUAUGCAGCAUCAAAAAAAAAAAAAAAAAGACUUUACACCAAGGGUAAUUUUAACCUGGACUGUCUCUUUGGGAGCACUGAGGACCAUGAGAAGAGCAACACGGAGCACACCACAGCCAAGGGAAUGUCAAAUGCUUUGAGAAAGCCAUGGGUCCCUCAAAAUUUUUAAGAGGAACCUUAAGGAAGGGGUUUCCUAGACUGGGUUGUUUUUUUUU